AUGGUGGCAACGGGUAACGGGGAAUUAGGGUUCGAUUCCGGAGAGGGAGCCUGAGAAACGGCUACCACAUCCAAGGAAGGCAGCAGGCGCGCAAAUUACCCAAUCCCGAUACGGGGAGGUAGUGACAAUAAAUACUGAUACGGGGCUCUUUUGGGUCUCGUAAUUGGAAUGAGAACAAUUUAAAUCCCUUAACGAGGAACAAUUGGAGGGCAAGUCUGGUGCCAGCAGCCGCGGUAAUUCCAGCUCCAAUAGCGUAUAUUAAAGUUGUUGCAGUUAAAAAGCUCGUAGUUGAACCUUGGGUCUGGCUGGCCGGUCCGCCUCACCGCGAGUACUGUCCGGCUGGACCUUUCCUUCUGGGGAACCUCAUGGCCUUCACUGGCUGUGGGGGGAACCAGGACUUUUACUGUGAAAAAAUUAGAGUGUUCAAAGCAGGCCUUUGCUCGAAUACAUUAGCAUGGAAUAAUAGAAUAGGACGUGCGGUUCUAUUUUGUUGGUUUCUAGGACCGCCGUAAUGAUUAAUAGGGAUAGUCGGGGGCGUCAGUAUUCAGCUGUCAGAGGUGAAAUUCUUGGAUUUGCUGAAGACUAACUACUGCGAAAGCAUUCGCCAAGGAUGUUUUCAUUAAUCAGGGAACGAAAGUUAGGGGAUCGAAGACGAUCAGAUACCGUCGUAGUCUUAACCAUAAACUAUGCCGACUAGGGAUCGGACGGGAUUCUAUGAUGACCCGUUCGGCACCUUACGAGAAAUCAAAG
rnacentral:rRNA from 1 species